ACUGUUUCGGCUCGGUAUUUAUGGCUCAUGCAUUCACAAAGUUUUACGAUAAUCCUGAGGUCAACAUACGUAUUAUGGCCAGUUGCUAGGCAACUGCCUGCCUAGCAGCUCCGGCUGCACAAAGUUUAACAAUUAUUUAACUUCCAAAAUGUGCAAAUUUUACUAAAAACAUGUACAUAUAAAAUAACUGCGAAAUAUUGAAGAUCGUUUUGUGACGUAUUAUAAAAAUCAAAUACAGUUGAAAUAAUCUAUUUCAAUUGGAAAAAUGUGGCUGUGUUGCGAUCGCAGGUUACCGAAUGCAACCAGUUAACCAUCCAACUGUACCAACUUACAUGGAAUUUCAAAAUUAAUUUAGGUACGCAGUGUGAAUCAAUAAUACGUAACUGGUUCCUUUACUGAACGGAACUCAACGUGUGGAGGAAAAUCUUCGUCUCCUUGACGUUCAAGACAAUUAAUGGCUACCUCCCCGAAUUAAGAAAAUCAAGCAUGAUUUCCAAUAUUGGCGUCAAGUAUAAAUAAAGGACACCAGCACGAACAAUUUAACCAACAACUAAGCAGUGAGAAAUAGUACUAUCUAUUGCAAUAUUACUUAGCAACGAUUUUACAAUAUGCAUACAUAGAAACAUAUGUGUUUAGACUAGUUAAUUUAAUAUAUAUUUUAUCGUACGUCUUAAACUGUCAGCUUUUUAAGGGUUUCAUUCCACGUGGAAAAUUUGUCAGGAAGUUAUGCAAUACAGAAAUUGGCGUAAUCGGAUAGCGGGUUUUUAAUGAACCUUAAGUUGUUGACCUAAACUAUCCGAUCCAAAUUUAGACUACAUAUAUGCACAAAUUUGGCUUUACACACAAUUUAAUUAAUAUGAGUGAAACUUUAUUACUUAAAAACAUUAUUUUUAAACGUCCUGACUUGCGGCGAAUCAUAGUAUUUAGAAGCAUUUGAACAUCAACUCAAGCGUGUUCAAAUUAAAGUAACAAAAGCUGAAAGCCAAACUGUAGGGAACGAACUUGCUUAAAAUUUACAUAUGUAUUUAACAAAUGUAUGUUUAUAUGCAUAGCAUUUAUUUUGGUAUGCAGGGAUGUGUACAUAACCUGGGCCUUAGUGGAAGACGUGCAAAUAGUGCAGGUACAAUGACAAAUUAGUUGAGUCCCCAAUUGUAGUCCUCAAAAUCGGGGUAAACUUUUCGUUUAGGUUCACUGCUUGAUCUGCUAAAACACGCAGAUCAAGUGUUAUUAUCUAUUUGUCUUAGAAUGUUCUGGGGUACCCGAGUGAGUUUUAUGCAGUAGGAUUUUGCCAAAAGAUUAAUUACAAUCUGCAGGUAAAAACUUGUUGAACAAGUUACUUACGCUUGUUGUUUAUUAAAGCUGCUUAAUAAAGAAAUUAUUAGAUGCACAGGGAAAAUAACUCUGUUAUCAGUAUUAAUAUUUUAUUGAUUUUGCCGAAGCUUAAUAAUAGCAAAAUAUGUAAAUGUUAAGUUAUAAUUGUGUGAAUCGUAUUUACUUAAUUUUGUAAGGUCCGAACCAAGAUAUAGAUGGAAACGAUAACUAAUUAAGUUGAGGAAGACUGCAGCCACUUUUAGUAAUCAGAUUGGCUUUAUUAAUCAAAGCCUCGUUCACUCACUCUCUAAAUAACGCCUGAAUUGCACGCCCAAAUGACGACUUGCAAAUACUUACACUGUGUGAUUUUCUAUUUGCAUUUGCUAAUUUGAUUUGAGUUUAAUUUGUCCCAUAUUAUACAAUUUUUAUGAUUCGUAUUUUCUGAUAAUCUAACGGGUUUUAUGCAUUUGCAUUUUGUCAAAUUGCAUUAUCAUCUGCAACGAAGAUCAUGAGCAUACGUCGGAUAUGAAUGAAAAAUGACUUUCUCCAUUUAUUGACCUACAGUCGCCAAACUUUCUGAUAAUGUUUAUGGUCACUAGUAGCUCACGUAGGUCAAAGCAUAUUUUCUCAUAUUGGUCAUAUUUUCGGGUUUUAGGACAUGUUCAUAUUCCCGAUCAUAUUUCGGGGUUUUUUGGUUCAUUUAUCAUUUUUGGCCAAAUUAUAAGAUUUGGCAACCAAAUCGACAGAAAAUGACAAAAAAUUCAGUUUUCUCACAAUUAUUCAUUGUGAGAAACUUUCAGAAAUUUACGUUCACUUUCGCCUAAGGUGAUUUAAUUCAUUGGGAAUGCAUGAAAUCACCCCAGAAUUUGUUUAUUUGAUAAAAAUUGAGCAUUACAAGAAAAUAUAUCAAAAAAUUAAGCCAAAAAUUAAAAAAAUAGUCAUUUUGAUGGUCAUAUUUUGGGGAUUUUUACGGUCAUUUUUCAUUCAUAUUUUGAGGUUUUAUCGGUCAUUCAUAUCCGACGUCUGAUCAUGAGAAUGUAAUUAACAACUUAGAAUUGCAUGCUAUGUUACAUAAUUCUGUCACAAGUAUUUACACUUUAUCGACUUAUAAAUAUAUUGCUACUGGUAAUAGCAAUAUUAUUAAAACUGGUGAUAUUUGCUUCGUUUGGAGUAGGCGUUUGGAGUAGCGUCCAGGAAUAGUUUGUGGGAAGCGGUUCCGUAAAGUGUGGGAGCGGCCUUCUUAUCAGUAUAGUAGUCUGCUAAGGCUUCGUACUUAUUUGAGCAGAUGAGUAACGAUUUUAGAUCCUUUUCUAGAUUAUGGCCGACAUCUUUGUUAUUUGAUAUACACUUCACUACGAGUUUCUGAAUGGUUUCAAACUUAUAUCCGUCGACAAGAUUGCUUCGGCUUAACCCAUUGAUGGGAGUGUUAUAAGUGUACACUACAUUGUGAGGCCACUUAAUUAAGGCGAGCAGAAUAGCAUCAUUCUGGUCGUUGACGAUGGCAAUGGAGGCUGCGGCAUAAAAGUGGUUGUUGGGGUCACGGAGAUAACAUGUAGGGCUUCGUUGACUUGAUCAUUAAGGUCAAUUAAAGGGUGUUGUGCAAGUGGGUUGAAAUGAUAUCGAAGAGUUAUUUUCUUAACAUUUAAAAAGAUGUUUUCGUUUGCUGGAAUCUUGUCUUCGCAGAAGACAAGUGAACGGUUCUGAUACACCUCUAGGGGUCGAUAGAGUUCAGCAUCUCUACGAAUAUUCCGAGCUAUUUUACUCUAUUUUCUCCAGUAAUUAGUCCCUUUUUUAAUAAAACUUUCCGGCAUCAUAUGAAUUAGGUUGAACACAAAUUGUUCGCGAUCGUGGUUGUCCAUCCACUCCCAUUGGUCUUCGAGCAUGGCUAAGGUUCCCAUUUUUCUAAAAUUAGUUAAUGUUACAUUAUUAAUUAAGGUGAUGUGGAGCACUUUUAAUCUAUUGGGCGGGAAGUUUGGCGGGUCAAAGCGCGCGUCAUGUGCCACAGAGCGAAAUGGCUAUACACCAGAACGGAAGAAAGUCCACGAGCAUUUGUUUGAAGAAAUUUUUGCAUAUUAUUAGUUCUUAGGGCCCAUAGGCAUGCGUGUAAAAAAAUUAAAGAGCCACACCCACUUUGGGUGUGGUUUUUCCCUAGAGGGUUUAGAGUCAAUCGCCACGGUCAAAAUUGUAGUGCAUGGGAUUGCAGACCUAUCAUAAAAAUUGCAGCCAAAUCCGUCCAUAAACAAAAAAGUUAUGACCCUGGGAACCUUGGCGAAAGGCAAAAUUGGACCCUAAGAACUAAUAAUAUGCAAAAAUAUCUUCAAACAAAUGCUCGUGGACUUUCUUCCGUUCUGGUGUAUAGCCAUUUCGCUCUGUGAUGUGGAAAGGGUGCUACCAAAACGAUGGGUUUAUGUCUGAUCAGGUCGCUUGUACUGUCCGUCGAUCCCAGGCCAUGACGUGGUAUAGUUAUGGUCAAAAUUUAUUGUUUGCAAUUUAAUCAUAGAGUAAAACGAUAAAGAAGAAAUUAUGUUGCAACCUUAAUCGAUGGUAAUGAUUGUGCUCCAGAAAAGUGAUGUCGUCGUCAUGGAUGUGCGUGAAUUCUGACUUUAAUUUUAUAGCCACGCAAGUGAAGUGAGAGAAAAGCGAAGCAUUAACUGAAUUAUAAUUGUCGCAUUUAUUUAGCUGUUGCAAAUAUUUUACAUUUUAUAUAAAUUUAUUUUAUAUAAAUAUAUGUAGUACACAUCCACUAAAAGUUUAGUCAAAUGAAGGUCAAAAUUUAUCCAACCAUGCAACCGUGCAAUUUUACGCAAUGCUGGAUAAAAUUUACCUAAUUUUUCUGUUAUUAGCUCGCCCUGCGUAGCAUGAGAGCUAUUGAAUUCCUCUCGUCCGUCUGUCUGUCUGUUCACGAGUUUUUUGCAUCAAUUGAUGCUAAUUAUUUGUGUCCCGCUCAAGUUUUUUUGACAUUAUUGGCACCGUUAGGAACGAACAAUCGGGAACGAUAAAUGGUGCGUUAUAUAAUAUGGGCGAACCGAUGCAACUCGCAUCAAUGGGGCAUGUUAUUCGUUUGUCUUUUGCUUUCAUUUGUAACCUCGAAAACCUCGAAAUCAUGUCAAAAGUAUGCACCAAUUUUCCCCAUUUCUGCUGCACCAUUAGUGCAAACUUUAACUUAUGUAUCAAUUUUCACUAUUUAUUUUGCACCAUUAGUUAACAAUUAUUGCAUGGUUCUACACAAGUUGUGUAGAACCAUGCAAUAAUAGCUCACCCUGCGUAGCACGAGAGCUAUUGAGUUCCUCUUUAACGACGUUUUUGUAUCAAUUGAUGCUAAUUAAAAUGUACCAGGUGUAUUUUUUGAUAAAUUAAUAGCAGUGUUAGUAUCUAAUAAUCGGUAACACAAAAUGGUGCGAAAUAAUUGAGGGAAGGGACACAAAAUGCACCAAUAGUGCAAAAUAUCCGGGAGAAAUAAUAAUAUCAUUUUGACAUAAAGUUUUCAAACUUAUGGAUGACGGUUGGUCGAUAAUGCGGCGCAGGUGGUGCAUACUAAUUCGACCUUUUCUUCAUUUUUCCGUUUAUAUUGCACCCUUGAUGCAUGAAUAUAUAAACAUUAUGAUCUCUUUUGUCGGCGUAUUCCGCACCUUUGGUGCAAAGUUAUGUCUAAAUCAUUAUGAACCUUAUUUUGUCGCCUUAUGAUACACUAUUGAUGCAAAAAAUCUCAAAAUUCUACACCUACAUAUUCCGAUUAUAAUGCACCAUUAGAAUCAAAUUAUAGAGUUUUAUACUUAUUUUGUGCACUUAUUCGGCACCAUUGGUGCAAAAUGGUAUACAUCCUAAUUUAUAUUGCAGGGUGAGCUACUUCUAACGUUACUACGGUUUAUUUCACUAAACCUUGAAUGAAUUUUACGCAACUUUAUUUAAAGGGUGUGAAAUAUUUAAAAUGUAUUGUUUAAACUUUACACUUGACUAACCUGAAGUAAUAAUGAUUAAAAGUUUAUUUCCGUGAUUUAUAUAAAUUAUGUCUAACUCUAGCUUAAAUUUUGUAAUACUUUACGCAGAGAUGUAUUGAUUCUUGAUGCAAUUAAAUAAUAGCUAAAUAACUGUAAUUCAACCAUUAAUAAAUUUGUUACGCUGCCAAUAUUUUGAACUUUA